AUGGCAGCGGUGGCCAGGUCCCCGUCCCCGUCCCCGUCGCCGUCGCCGGCCGCGGUCAGGCCCUGCCCCUCCAUGCGGAGGAGCGCCGACUCCAACCCCUUCAAGCCCGCAGAUUGCCCCUCGCAGAGGAGCGCCAGCUCCAAGGGCGUUGGCGGCGGGUGCGGGUGCCACCACGCCUCCUCGCCCUCGCCGCGCCGGAGGUCCCUCUCCUCCUCCUUCGGGGAGAAGGAGAACGAGCCGCGGGACCGCACCCCCAAGCCCGCGGCGCGCACAGGCGGCCCGAAGAACUUCAUGGCGCCCACCAUCUCCGCCGCGUCCAAGGCCGCCUCGCCCAGGAACACCAGCAAGGUGCUCGGGGAGCGGAACCACGACACGCCUCACCUCGCGCCCUUCUCCCCCGCCAACCUCGCGCACAAGCCCAAGGCGGGAGGAACCCCCGACCCGCGCCGCCUGCGCCUCUCCUUCGACGCCCCUCUCGCUCCCGCUGGAGAUGACGACGCGGGGACGGAGAUUCCCGUGCGCGCGGCGGCCGAGACGGUGGGCGCGGAGCGCAGCCUGCGGCACUCGUUCGAGCCCCCUCCCGCGGCCGCCGCAUGGCACGGCCCGCUCGCUGGAGAUGACGACGACGCGGGGUUGGAGGAUCCCGUGGGCGUGAACCACCCGCACGCGGCGGCCGAUCCGGUGGACGCGGAGCCGUCCCGGGCGGCCCUGUACGACCCCAAGACCAACUACACUUCGCCGAGGCCGCGCUUCCUCCACUACAAGCCCAACCCCCGCGUCGACAUCUACCGCCACGGCCGCGCUGGCGUCGGGCGCCUCGAGGACGGCUUCGCCUCCGCCUCCGCCUCCGAGAGCAGCGACGAAACCGACGCCACUGCCACCACGGAGGACGACCUCACGGAGGAGGAGCAAGAGCAAGCACAGCAGAAUCACCUGCCACGGGAGCAGCCAGCUCUCGCCGCUCCAUCCGAGGCCGCCGAGGCUUGCGUCCUGGCGCCAGAUCCCACGCCGGGUUCACCGCGGGCUGCUCUGCUGCUGCCAUCAGAGGCUGCUGCGGUGACGCCCGAGCCGGCUCGCGUCUCUGCACCGGAGCCUAGGGCGACUCCUCCGCGAGCUCGUGCACUGACGCCGGAGCCGGAGCAUGGGGUGCGAGCUCCAGCGAAGAAGGGGUCCUCGUUGAGGUUCCUGCUUCCCCUUGCUUUCGUUCUGCUCAUGUCCGCUGCUUCCGUGUGCGUGCUGCUGCAACCGGAUUCGCCGAUCAUGUCAAACACCGCCUUGUCGAAGGCGUCAGGCUUUCUUUCAGUUCAAGAAUCACACCCUGUGGAGUUGGCUGCUUGGCUCAAGCAAUGGUCAAGCAGUUCGUUGGAUUCGAUCACGUCUUACUGGGAGGCCUUGGCCUCUACAUCCACGCAAAAGCAAGAGUACUUUGGUCCGCACUUUGCAGCCAACUGGAGUGCGGCGGCUGCCGAUGGUGACAACCAUGCUGCUGCUGCUGAUUUCUACUACAACUUUGCUGAGGCAUGGCCAGUGCCGAGUGAAGAGCCUAUUAGCAGUGCCAAUGCCUUGACUGCAGAGCCGGAAGAAGAAUCAGUUGCUGAUGCUGGAGUGGGAGAAAAAUAUGAUGCAUCAGACUACUACGACAUGGUGGUAGUUGAGCUUGAUGUUGGAAUGCCAGAAGAAGCUCCUGGUAGCAGCUAUGGUGCCAGUGUCCUGGAGGAGCAGUUGAAGAUCCAGGAUGCAGUUUCUGAAGCAAGCAGUGCUGACUUGAUUGCAGAAUCAGAGGGUGUUGCUGCAGUGGUAGAAGAAUCUGAUGCAGACUACUCCAAGGCAGUAGAUGAGCUUGAUGUUGGGGCAUCAGAAGCAGCUCCAGGUAGCAUCAGUGGCGAAGAGAUCAGUCAGGAUUUGGGCACCCCAUCUCAACCUGCUGAGCAGCAUGAACAGGAUGUUGAGAGUGAAGAGCCCGAGGACAACCACGGCAGUGGCAAGGAGGGCCAGGAGCCGCAUCUUGGCCUUGAGUCGGACUCGAGCAUGUCGCCAAGCUACUUGGACAGAAUCUCAAAGCCUGCUGCAGCAGUAGGUGUUGCUCUCGUUGUGGUCAUUCUUUCAGCAGGCGUUGCCGCCCUUUCCAUGUGGAAGAAGCAAGCUCAGGUUGCCACAGGUGCCAAUGUACCAGCUGAGCAGGGUCAAGCCGAGGAGGCUGAGACUCGAUCUGGUUCAGCAAGCAGUGAGGGCCAUCGUGUUGUCAAAGGUUCUGUGGCAGAAGAAACUGAGCGAUUUGGUGACUCUGGUUUCUCUCAGUACAGCAGCAGCUUGUCGUCUGGCCAUGGCCAUGGCAGGGGGAAGACCAAGGAGGAAGAGAACGUCGGCCUCGAGCCCGCGUCCAAGAGGGAGUCCAUGUCAUACUCCACAUCAUCCUAUGGCAGCUUCACGACCUAUGAGAAGAUCGCUGCCAAGAACAGGAACAAGGAUGAUGAGGCGAUGACCCCGGUCCGGCGCUCCAGCAGGCUGCGGAGUGUCAAAUCACCCGAGGCCGAGUCUAGUUAG
rnacentral:rRNA from 1 species